GGAGGCGUACGUGUCCUGGUGGGCGCCCCAGUCUUCAAAACUGGUGAGGUCGAGCAGCUCGACCUGGCAGGUUCGAUUCCUGUCCGUCUCCGCCA
rnacentral:tRNA from 3 species